GUUUUAAUCUAUUAGGCUGAAGGAUAAAAUGUCUUCUUAAAACGAUUUGAUUAAUCAAAAUAAGUGUGUUUCUUUCUAAGAUUGUUGGCCUACGUGAGUCUGAACGAAAAUUACAAGUGCAGAUUGAAGAACAGGAAAUGAAGUCCAUGCACCAGAAAAACAUGAUGCAUGAAUUGGAAUCUGCACUUGAACAGAUCAAGUUGCAGUGUGACAGACAGCUCACUCACCAGCGCCAAGAACAUGAGAAAAAAAUACAGUUUAUAUUGAAUCAUUUCAAAGAACAAAAUAGUGAAAGUGUUGCAGAAACCCUGAAAGGGUAUGAAGUAAAAAUCCAGCAACUGGAAAAAGAUUUAUUUUUCUAUAAGAAAACCAGCAGAGAGCUGAAAAAGAAAUUGAAGGGCCUUCUUGGAGAGUCACCUGAAUAACUAUUGUCAUCCACUAAAUAAUCCAGAUGUCCAACAGAGCUAUUCCCGUGGAGGAGAAAAGAAGGUUCAGCUUCAUCACUGUUUCUGUUGUCUCAUACAUCUCAGUAUGAGAUGCAUCAGUAUAGCCUUCUUGGCCUGCUGGUGUUUCUUUUUAAGGCUCAGGCAAGACUGGUUAUUCCUCUCAAUGGAUGCUUCUGCUUCUUUCCACUCAGUGCCAUGCCUUCCUACAGAGACAUGCUGAUCACAUACAUCUACUCCCAGAGUAAAUUAGGGUUCAGCCCCUUCCCUUUAGGCACGGUAAUGAGCCUACACAUUCAUUACUGUAAAGUACACUAUCAACCUCACAUACAUCUACUCCCAGAGUAAAUUAGGGCUCAGCCCCUUCCCUUUAGGCAAGGUAAUGAGCCUACACAUUCAUUACUAUAAAGUACACUAUCAACAUGUGAACAUGAAUAUUCUAGAGACUGGAUUAUAAAUGAGUGUAGGAAAGAUUAUUCUGUGUCUAAUAUACAAAGAAGCAUGUAGUUUAGGAUGUGUAUCUGUGUGGGCAAAUUGUAGCAGUGGGAAGAAGGGAGAAGACCCCUGUGAGUUUCCAACCUUUUCCAAUGCAUAUAUUUGCAAGUUUUAUAAGAAAUAUUCUGCAUUUAGUUAUUUUUCUUUUUAAUACAUUAUGAAAUGUGUUGCUAUACAAUGCAAUAAAACCAUAACUUGUUACUGAGCUUUAGAAAUAAUAAAAUCCCUGUUUGUAUAUUGCGAAUUUGUAGAAUGUCUUUUGUGUUGUACUAGUGUAGUUGCUGACUGUUUUUCAAUAUGUUAAUUAUUUCAUAUUUGUCACAGUUCAGUUGUUUUUAGACUGCUUACUAGGAUACAUGACAAGUUAGAAUGGUGAGCCUUGUAUGGGCAGCAGCUUCUCAGAUGAGAGUAACAACAAGUACCUCCAAUGUUUUUGUAGAUGGUGAAGUUUUUGAAUGGAAAGGGCAAAAUGUGAGGUGCUGAUAGCUUUCUACCAUGUUCAUGCUGCAAGUUGCUGAUGCUAUAAAACCAUGUUGCCUACCCAUGUCAGGCACUCCGAGAAGUUGUAACUUUCAGUUAUUUAUCUGCUGAUAAAAUUCAUUUUAGAUAAGUGUUGGUGUUUUUAUCCGGUCAAGAGGAAGCAGAAGUUGCUUCUGAAGAAUUCAAGUGAAAACAGCUGUUAACAAAGCUCAUGCCUUUACUAAGUACAAGUAAAAUUACUUUUUGAAGUAUCAGAGAACUCUCAGUCUGUCAGUCUGCUCAGUGUACUUAAGGCAAUGAAUAAAAAUUGUAAUAAAAUAAUUUGAAGUAAUUCUAUAGU
rnacentral:lncRNA from 12 species